UUAAAUAUCUACAUUGGUUGGGUGGCAACGCUAGAAUAUACUAGAUUGAGACAUGGAAUUAUUUAGUCACAAUUUCUGGUAACACUGGGUUGGAAAAUCGCUUAAUCCCGUCAUGGCGAAAACGGCGCCCUCUCGCAGCUGCCGCGCUCGUCUCGUCCUGGGUGUGGAAGCGGGUUGGAGCAUCAUCCGUGCUCGCAUUGUUGUGUGUAUAAUGCGAGUACAUUGCACUGGCGCCCAUUGGAGGUUGUGUGUAGCGGCCGCCGUCUAUGAGAGUGGACUGUGCAUCGCGCUGCGUGUGCCUCAUGGGACAGUGCGAGUGUGCCAGUUUUGUAUGUGGACUGUAAUGGAGGCAACAAGGGAAAAGUGUUGCUGAAGCAUUGUGCCUUGACUGGCAAGUACGUGCGCGACGCGCAAGGUGUGCGUCUGAGCGAUCGUCCGUAGCCCCAUCGUCCACCAUGCGCUCCAGCAUUAGGCGAGUUCGCUCCAGGCCGUGGGUUAGCGCAGCUUCGUCGUUUUCGCGUGCAUGUGAGGUCUGCAACUCGUCUGCAAUUUGUGGCCGUCGUGUGGGCGCAGGUGGCUGGAGUGGGCUGCGUGGGUGGCAGUACUCGUGACGUUUUCAAACGCUGGCGAAAGCAGUGGCUGGACAGAGUCCUGUUGUGCGGCUUCGUGCGUCUUGUAGUGGCUGUCGUUCGACUGUUGGGGCGUAGUCGGGUAUGAUCAUCUGCUGUAUACCUGGGUGCUGGCCCUGGAUGAGCUCAAUUACGUAUUCUCUGGUGGCGGGCGUCUCGUUUGCUGCUGCUCUACUGUUGAGAUGUCGGGAACAAUAAUCUGUUGGAUGGCUGGCGGUUGGCCUUGGAUGAUAUCAACAGCUCGAUCCCUGGCGGGCCUUCAUUGAGCUGGCGCAUAUAUCUUUGCGCCUCAUUCUCAGCGAGCCUUAUGGAUGCUCUGGCAUCCAGCUCUUCCUCCUCUAGACGCAAUAGAGUUGGCAGGGAUGUCAGGAAACUUUGUCGCUGGAGUUGCGCGGAGUCUCGACUGGUGCUCUGGACUGGCUCGUGGUUGUCGCGUGGUAGAUGACGCUGUAGAGGGUACAUAUGACGCGCCAGU